GUGGGGAAUCUUAGACAAUGGGCGCAAGCCUGAUCUAGCCAUGCCGCGUGAGCGAUGAAGGCCUUAGGGUUGUAAAGCUCUUUCGUGGGGGAAGAUAAUGACUGUACCCCAAGAAGAAGCCCCGGCUAACUCCGUGCCAGCAGCCGCGGUAAUACGGAGGGGGCUAGCGUUGUUCGGAAUUACUGGGCGUAAAGCGCACGUAGGCGGACUGGAAAGUCAGGGGUGAAAUCCCGGGGCUCAACCCCGGAACUGCCUUUGAAACUCCCAGGCUUGAGUUCGAGAGAGGUGAGUGGAAUUCCGAGUGUAGAGGUGAAAUUCGUAGAUAUUCGGAGGAACACCAGUGGCGAAGGCGGCUCACUGGCUCGAUACUGACGCUGAGGUGCGAAAGCGUGGGGAGCAAACAGGAUUAGAAACCCCGGUAGUCC
rnacentral:rRNA from 1 species